AUUGAACGCUGGCGGAAUGCUUUACACAUGCAAGUCGAACGGCAGCACGGGGCAACCUGGUGGCGAGUGGCGAACGGGUGAGUAAUACAUCGGAACGUGCCCAGUCGUGGGGGAUAACGUAGCGAAAGCUACGCUAAUACCGCAUACGAUCUACGGAUGAAAGCGGGGGAUCGCAAGACCUCGCGCGAUUGGAGCGGCCGAUGGCAGAUUAGGUAGUUGGUGGGGUAAAGGCCUACCAAGCCGACGAUCUGUAGCUGGUCUGGGAGGACGACCAGCCACACUGGGACUGAGACACGGCCCAGACUCCUACGGGAGGCAGCAGUGGGGAAUUUUGGACAAUGGGCGCAAGCCUGAUCCAGCCAUUCCGCGUGCAGGAUGAAGGCCUUCGGGUUGUAAACUGCUUUUGUACGGAACGAAAAGGCUCUGGUUAAUACCCGGGGCUCAUGACGGUACCGUAAGAAUAAGCACCGGCUAACUACGUGCCAGCAGCCGCGGUAA
rnacentral:rRNA from 1 species